CCAAUAGCGUAUAUUAAAGUUGUUGCAGUUAAAAAGCUCGUAGUUGAAUUUCGGGAUCAAUAUAUCGGUCGUGCCAUCGGUACGUACUGGUAUCAUUGGUCUCUCCUUUCUGACGAACCAUGAUGUCAUUAAUUUGGUGUCAUGGGAAGUUAGGACUGUUACUUUGAAAAAAUUAGAGUGUUUAAAGCAGGCUUUAGCUUGAAUACAUUAGCAUGGAAUAAUGAAAUAGGACGUUCGAACCUAUUUUGUUGGUUUCUAGGAUCAACGUAAUGAUUAAUAGGGAUAGUUGGGGGCAUUAGUAUUCAAUUGUCAGAGGUGAAAUUCUUGGAUUUAUUGAAGACUAACUACUGCGAAAGCAUUUGCCAAGGAUGUUUUCAUUAAUCAAGAACGAAAGUUAGGGGAUCGAAGACGAUCAGAUACCGUCGUAGUCUUAACCAUAAACUAUGCCGACUAGGGAUCGGAUGAUGUUAAUUUUUUAAUGACUCAUUCGGCGCCUUACG
rnacentral:rRNA from 1 species